CGGGGAGUAGCUUAGCCUGGUAAAGCGUCGGCUUUGGGAGCCGAAGAUCGCUGGUUCGAAUCCAGUUUCCCCGA
rnacentral:tRNA from 1 species